GAAAUUAAGAGCAUAUGGUGGAUGCCUUGACUAGAAGAGGCGAUGAAGGACGUAGCAAAGCUGCGAUAAGCUCCGGGGAGGCGCCAAGCAACCUUUGAUCCGGAGAUCUCCGAAUGGGGAAACCCCUCGUGCAUUGCACGAGACGUGCGAAGCACAAGGAACAAUUGACAAUUAACUUUUGACAAUUGACCGCAGAAUUUUUCGAAGCAAAAUUCUGCCUAGUCACAUGUCAAUUGUCACAGGUCAAAUGUCUCUUGCGCUUCGCGCGAGCAUACCCAGGGAAGUAAAACAUUUCAGUACCUGGAGGAAAAGAGACUAAUAAGAAUUCCGUUAAUAGCGGCGAGCGAAAGCGGAAGAGCCCAAACCACGUGCGAAGCACAAGGAACAAUUGACAAUUAACUUUUGACAAUUGACCGCAGAAUUUUGCGAAUCAAAAUUCUGCCUAGUCACAUGUCAAUUGUCACAGGUCAAAUGUCUCUUGCGCUUCGCGCGCUGGGGUUGUAAGACAGGAACGUAGUAUUUAUAUUAGAGAAGUUACAAAAUGUUGUGUUAACCGAACAAGCUGGAAAGCUUGGCCCAAGGAGGUAACAGCCCCGUAGGUGAAAACGCAAUAUCUUCUUUGUUCCUGUUCUUGAGUACUUCGAGACACGAAUAGCUCGGAGGAAUCCGCCGGAACUAACCGGCAAGGCUAAAUACUCUUCUAGAUCGAUAGUGAACUAGUACCGUGAGGGAAAGGUGAAAAGAACCCCGGAGAGGGGAGUGAAAUAGACCUGAAACCAUAUGCUUACAAGGAGUCAGAGCCGUCGCAUCACAUGGGAUGUGAUGCGACGGAAAUUCGAAAUUCGAAAUUCGAAAUCCGAAAAAAUUCAAAAUAUUAAAUUCAAAACAAGAUUUUUUCUUUUUUGUUUUUUAUAUUUUCUUUAUUUUUUCGUAUUUCGUGCUUCGUGCUCUGAAUUUCCGUUGCAUCGCGUUUUGCGUGAUGAGACGGUCAUGGCGUGCCUAUUGAAGAAUGAGCCAACGAGUUAAUUUGCACUGCUUGCUUAACCCCGCCCUUUUGAUUAACAUUUCAUUUUUUGGGAUGAAUUUGGAAAAUUAGGUGAACAAAUAAUGAGCACCUUAAAUUUUGUUGAUCAAAGAGGCGGGGCGAGGCCUAGCGAAAGCGAGUCUGAACAGGGCGUUUGUAGUGCAAAUUAGACCCGAAGCCAAGUGAGCUUGCCAUGAGCAGGGUGAACUCUGAUGAAAAUCAGAGGGAGGCCCGAACCGUUUAGCCGUGCAAUACUAUCGGAUGACUUGUGGUAAGAAGUGAAAAGCUAAUCGAACUUGGUAAUAGCUGGUUCUCUCCGAAAUAGCUUUUGGGCUAGCGUCGCGUGUUCCUUAUAGGGGUAGAGCACUGGAAGAAUUCGACAGGUCGAAAGAUCGCGAAUUCUAUCAAACUCCGAAUACUAUAAGUCAUAACGCGGCAGUUAGACCGUGGGGGCUAAGCUCCACUGGUCAAAAAGGAAACAGCCUAGAUCUCUAUUUAAGGUCCCUAAAUCUACACUAAGUGCAAGUAAGGUGGUGAAAUUUCUUCAACAAUGAGGAUGUUGGCUUAGAAGCAGCCAUCAUUUAAAGAAAGCGUAACAGCUCACUCAUCAAGAGAUUUUGCGCCGAAGAUAAUCGGGGCUCAAGUGUAGUACCGAAACUGAGGGUACCGUGCAAAGCACAGAAAUCCGAAGCACGAAGCACGAAAUACGAAAAAUAUCUAAAUUUUAAAUUCAAAAUUUUAAACAAUUAUUUUUGUUUGACAUUUUGUUAUUUCGGCUAGCGAGGAGCGUGUGAAUGAUUCUUAUCAUUCACGACGUCCGAGCGAAGACGAAACAAAGGUUCAAUACCUCGAGGAUUGCCCCGAGGAACCUUUAUUUGAAUUUUGGAUUUAUUUCGAAUUUCGAUAUUCGAAUUUCGAAUUUCCGCGCUUUGCGCGGUGCGGUAGGAGAGUAUUCGCAUCUUGCUGUGAAGCCAAAGGGGUGACCCAUGGUGGAGCGUUGCGAAGUAAGAAUGUUGGCACAAGUAACCACAAUGGAGGUGAGAACCCUCCACGCCGAAAGACCAAGGUUUCCUUGGCGAUGACAAUCAGCCAAGGGUUAGUCGGUCCUAAGGGGAUGGCGAAAGCCGAACCCGAUGGAUAUAUGGUUAAUAUUCCAUAACUCUUAUGCAAAAUGAUGGGAGGACGGGGUGUAGUAUGUCUUGCGUAUUAUUGGAUUUACGUUCGUGCUCUGAGGAAGAUUUCCAGGAAAAUCCGGAAGUCUGCUUUUAAUGGCAUUUCCAAGGAGAGCGAGAACUGUGCAAAGCACAAGGAACAAUUGACAAUAAACAUCUGACAAUUGACCGCAGAAUUUUGCAGAGCAAAAUUCUGCCAAGUCAAAAGUUAAAUGUUCACGGGUCAAAUGUCUCUUGCGCUUUGCGCAGAAUAGGACAAAGCACGCCUCCAAGAAAAAUCUCUAAGUUUAUUUGCAUGAGAUCCGUACCGCAAACCGACACAGGUGGUCAGCUCGAGUAGAGUAAGGCGAACGAGUGAAAUUUCCCCAAGGAACUCGGCAAAAAAGCAGCCGUAACUUCGGAAUAAGGCUUGCCUUGUGCGAAGCACAAGGAACAAUUGACACUUAACAAUGGACAAUUGACCGCAGAAUUUUGCAGAGCAAAAUUCUGCCAAGUCAAAAGUUUAAUGUCACAGGUCAAAUGUCUCUUGCGCUUUGCAUGAGGCUGCAACAAAAGUAUCUCUGGCAACUGUUUAUCAAAAACACAGCUCCCUGCGAACUCGUAAGAGGAUGUAUAGGGGGUG
rnacentral:rRNA from 1 species